AAACAUUGACACGUACUCUGAGCAGUCUAAUCCUGUGAUUUAUUUGAUGAGAACAACACCGUGAUAGUCUUUCGCUCAUUACAACUCAUUAAUAUCAGUCACCAUACUGAAUGAUAUUUGUUGGAUCACAACAACCAAAAAACGGGAUUUUAUGAAGGAAAUAACAAAAGCAGUGGGUGAGAUGAGGAGAAGCAUGAAAUGACUUUGAUUGUAGUAUUUAAAUGAACAAUCCAAAGAUGAAACUUGGAGGCAUUGGAGUUCAGAAGAAAAAAGUAAAAAGUGGAUCUCUGUCUUCAUUGGCAAUGAGGGUCUACAUGAUAAAAGAAGGCAACUCAACAUCACCUUCUCAAGUGCAGUGAGGGACAUCUACAUCCCGUGAAUGAGUAAAAAACCCGGCUCCACUGCAAUUGUACAGACAUCUUGACUUCACUGGUGAGCAUCUAGAAGGCCGGGAAACUGCGGAUUUUAUGUCAAAAUAAAUACAAUGUGUCAAGAUUGCUCAAACAGAGCAGUUGGCCUGUUGAAAUUGUCAACCUUGCCCCUCACGAAGCGUCAGUGAGGAGCACAC